rnacentral:piRNA from 1 species
UGAGGUCUCCAGAUUGUCCACAUUUCUGGGU